rnacentral:rRNA from 1 species
CCUACGGGAGGCAGCAGUGAGGAAUAUUGGUCAAUGGACGAGAGUCUGAACCAGCCAAGUAGCGUGAAGGAUGACUGCCCUAUGGGUUGUAAACUUCUUUUAUAAAGGAAUAAAACGAGGCACGUGUGCCUUUUUGCAUGUACUUUAUGAAUAAGGAUCGGCUAACUCCGUGCCAGCAGCCGCGGUAAUACGGAGGAUCCGAGCGUUAUCCGGAUUUAUUGGGUUUAAAGGGAGCGUAGAUGGGUUGUUAAGUCAGUUGUGAAAGUUUGCGGCUCAACCGUAAAAUUGCAAUUGAUACUGGCAGUCGUGAGUACAGUUGAGGUAGGCGGAAUUCGUGGUGUAGCGGUGAAAUGCUUAGAUAUCACGAAGAACCCAGAUUGCGAAGGCAGCUUACUAAACUGUGACUGACAUUGAUGCUCGAAAGUGUGGGUAUCAAACAGGAUUAGAUACCCUUGUAGUC